rnacentral:rRNA from 1 species
GAUGAACGCUAGCGAUAGGCCUAACACAUGCAAGUCGAGGGGCAUCACAUGAAGUAGCAAUACGGAUGGUGGCGACCGGCGCACGGGUGAGUAACACGUAUGCAACCUGCCUUCAACAAGGGGAUAACCCGUUGAAAGACGGACUAAUACCCUAUAACACAGGGGUCCCGCAUGGGAAUAUUUGUUAAAGGACAACCGGUUGAAGAUGGGCAUGCGUUCCAUUAGCUAGUUGGCGGGUAACGCCCACCAAGGCAACGAUGGAUAGGGGAACUGAGAGGUUUAUCCCCCACACUGGUACUGAGACACGGACCAGACUCCUACGGGAGGCAGCAGUGAGGAAUAUUGGUCAAUGGACGCAAGUCUGAACCAGCCACGUCGCGUGAAGGAAGACGGCCCUACGGGUUGUAAACUUCUUUUAUACGGGAAUAAAUGCCCCACGCGUGGGGUUUUGCAUGUACCGUAUGAUAAGGAUCGGCUAACUCCGUG